GUGGGGAAUAUUGGACAAUGGGCGAAAGCCUGAUCCAGCCAUGCCGCGUGUGUGAAGAAGGUCUUCGGAUUGUAAAGCACUUUAAGUUGGGAGGAAGGGCAGUAAGUUAAUACCUUGCUGUUUUGACGUUACCGACAGAAUAAGCACCGGCUAACUUCGUGCCAGCAGCAGCGGUAAUACGAAGGGUGCAAGCGUUAAUCGGAAUUACUGGGCGUAAAGCGCGCGUAGGUGGUUUUGUAAGUUGGAGGUGAAAUCCCCGGGCUCAACCUGGGAACUGACUCCAAAACUGCAUGACUAGAGUACGGUAGAGGGUAGUGGAAUUUCCUGUGUAGCGGUGAAAUGCGUAGAUAUAGGAAGGAACACCAGUGGCGAAGGCGACUACCUGGACUGAUACUGACACUGAGGUGCGAAAGCGUGGGGAGCAAACAGGAUUAGAAACCCCUGUAGUCC
rnacentral:rRNA from 1 species